AGCGAACGCUGGCGGCGUGCCUAACACAUGCAAGUCGAACGUGAAAAGGGGCAACCCUGAGUAAAGUGGCGUACGGGUGAGUAACACGUAGGUAAUCUACCUGAGAGUCUGGAAUAACCGGCCGAAAGGCUGGCUAAUACUGGAUAGAGCGACGAAAUCCGUAAUUGGGUUUCUCGGGAAAGGGAGGAAGCAAUUCCCUUCGCUCUCAGAUGAGCCUGCGUCCCAUCAGCAGUUGGUAAGGUAAUGGCUUACCAAGGCAAUGACGGGUAGCUGGUCUGAGAGGAUGAUCAGCCACACUGGAACUGAAACACGGUCCAGACUCCUACGGGAGGCAGCAGUGGGGAAUCUUGCGCAAUGGACGAAAGUCUGACGCAGCCACGCCGCGUGAGUGAAGAAGGCC
rnacentral:rRNA from 1 species